AACUUUUAACAACGGAUCACUUGGCUCUCGCAUCGAUGAAGAACGCAGCGAAAUGCGAUACGUAAUGUGAAUUGCAGAAUUCAGUGAAUGAUCGAAUCUUUGAACGCACCUUGCGCCCCUUGGAAUUCCGAGGGGCACACCCGUUUGAGUGUCGUGAACAUCCUUCAACCUGUCUUUGUGUCUUAACCGGGGAAGGCUUGGACUUUGGGGGUCUUUCAUUGCUGGUCUCUUUGAUGCCAGCUACUCCUAAAUGGAUUAGUGUGGUCUGCUUUGCCGAUUCUCGACGUGAUAAGCUGUUUCUACGUCUUGGGUUUCGCACUGUCGCUUUAGCCCCCGCUUCUAACCGUCUUGCAUUCAAGACAGAGUUUUAAACCUUGACCUCAAAUCGGGUGAGACUCCCCGCUGACCUUCAGCAUAUCAAUAAGCGGAGGCU
rnacentral:misc_RNA from 1 species